rnacentral:rRNA from 1 species
UCCAGCGGCGGACGGGUGAGGAAUACAUAGGAAUUUGCCUUUAGGUGGGGGAUAGCUUGGGGAAACUCAAGGUAAUACCGCAUGAUGUCGCAAGACCAAAGUGGGGGAUCGCAAGACCUCGCGCCUUUAGAGAAGCCUAUGUCUGAUUAGCUAGUUGGUGGUGUAAUGGACCACCAAGGCUACGAUCAGUAACUGGUCUGAGAGGACGAUCAGUCACACCGGAACUGAGACACGGUCCAGACUCCUACGGGAGGCAGCAGUGGGGAAUAUUGGACAAUGGGCGCAAGCCUGAUCCAGCAAUGCCGCGUGUGUGAAGAAGGCCUUCGGGUUGUAAAGCACUUUUAUCGGGAACGAAAUACCACGGGUUAAUAACCUAUGGGGCUGACGGUACCCGAGGAAUAAGCACCGGCUAACUUCGUGCCAGCAGCCGCGGCAAUACGAAGGGUGCAAGCGUUAAUCGGAAUUACUGGGCGUAAAGGGUGCGUAGGCGG